rnacentral:rRNA from 1 species
UACGAAGGGUGCAAGCGUUAAUCGGAAUUACUGGGCGUAAAGGGUGCGUAGGCGGUUCGUUAAGUCUGUCGUGAAAUCCCCGGGCUCAACCUGGGAAUGGCGAUGGAUACUGGCGAGCUAGAGUGUGUCAGAGGAUAGUGGAAUUCCCGGUGUAGCGGUGAAAUGCGUAGAGAUCGGGAGGAACAUCAGUGGCGAAGGCGGCCAUCUGGGACAACACUGACGCUGAAGCACGAAAGCGUGGGGAGCAAACAGG